GUCGUGCGGGCUCUACUAGCUUCAGAGUGGGCAAGCUAAGAGCUCGGCUGACCCGUCUCUCUGUUCCGGUGUCCCAACAGCCUUUUCUGAUCAAUUCCAGUUCCCGAAAAAAAUCAUUUGCCAAUGGUGAAGUUUUCAUGGCUCUGCUCUGAGCUGUACUAGACCAGAAGUGCAUAGGUGUGAUGUUCACUAGCAAAAAGGUAUCUAGCUGUGUGUUGCUGUCCUGCCGCACUAUGCAUGCCACCCAGCAGUGAUC